CCUAUUAUUCCCGUCCUCAAAUCAAUCCAAUAUCGGUUUCAUAAUUUUCUCCCUGUGUUGUCUCUUAAAGACAGUUAUUUUAUGUAUUAUUCUAGUAUAAUUGUACUGGUACUAACUUCUGUUUAUGAAAUGAAUGAAUUAUGCUUGUGAACCUCAUAUGUUUUCUUUAUUUUAAAGUUAUUAUCCAUGUCAGUGUUGCCCCAGUUACCAUGAGCUAAUUAGCUUGUACUUAUCUUUACUCUUGAUUUACUGUUAAUCCUUUUCAAUAAUUCCAAAAGGGGGAAUACUAACUUUAUGUGUAGGGCCCAGGUGUGUAUGCGUUCAUGUGUAGUGCAUGCUGACAUGGGGAUGUAUGGUAAGGGCACAGUGAGAGGGGGAAACAAACAUAAGCUUAGAGUUUUUGCUGCAAAUAACAAUAAGUGAUCAGGUCCCUGUAUUGCAUAAUAGUAGAAGCAUGAUGAUAGGGAGAACAUUCAUCUUCAGAGUACUAAUCACACUGAUUAAAUGUGAUGCAUCUGCUUAAAGUUGUAUGGUUGGUUUGUCAUCAUAAAAAAGGAGGGGAAAUUGCUAUAUGUAGUUUUGAUGAUGAGUAGCUAACUGCAAAGGACUAGGUCCCUAGAUGUUCAUGGUACAGUACAGCUGACACGCGUGCCUGUACAGUUUUGUUCUUUUAUGUAAUAAACUUGCAGGUGCUGCUUGAACUGAAUAGGAUACCUGGUUCAAUGAUAUUUCAGCCCUAAUCAUCACUCAUCUAUAAAAGAAAAAAA
rnacentral:lncRNA from 1 species